CCUACGGGAGGCAGCAGUGGGGAAUUUUGGACAAUGGGCGCAAGCCUGAUCCAGCCAUUCCGCGUGAGUGAAGAAGGCCUUCGGGUUGUAAAGCUCUUUCGGCAGGGAAGAAACGGUUACGGCCAAUACCCGUGACUAAUGACGGUACCUGCAUAAGAAGCACCGGCUAACUACGUGCCAGCAGCCGCGGUAAU
rnacentral:rRNA from 1 species